rnacentral:rRNA from 1 species
GACGAACGCUGGCGGCGUGCUUAACACAUGCAAGUCGAACGGAAAGGCCUCUUUCGGGGGGUACUCGAGUGGCGAACGGGUGAGUAACACGUGAGUAACCUGCCCUUGACUUUGGGAUAACUUCAGGAAACUGGGGCUAAUACCGGAUAGGAGCUCCUGCUGCAUGGUGGGGGUUGGAAAGUUUCGGCGGUUGGGGAUGGACUCGCGGCUUAUCAGCUUGUUGGUGGGGUAGUGGCUUACCAAGGCUUUGACGGGUAGCCGGCCUGAGAGGGUGACCGGCCACAUUGGGGCUGAGAGACGGCCCAGACUCCUACGGGAGGCAGCAGUGGGGAAUAUUGCACAAUGGGUGGAAGCCUGAUGCAGCAACGCCGUGUGCGGGAUGACGGCCUUCGGGUUGUAAACCGCUUUCGCUCAUGACGAAGCUUUGUGUGACGGUAGUGGGUAAAGAAGCACCGGCUAACUACGUG